rnacentral:rRNA from 1 species
AUUGAACGCUGGCGGCAGGCCUAACACAUGCAAGUCGAACGAGUGGCGGACGGGUGAGUAAUGUCUGGGAAACUGCCCGAUGGAGGGGGAUAACUACUGGAAACGGUAGCUAAUACCGCAUACCAUCGGAUUUGCCCAGAUGCGAUUAGCUAUUAGGUUGGGUAACGGCUCACCUGGGCUACGAUCCCUAGCUGGUCUGAGAGGAUGACCAUCCACACAGGAACUGAGACACGGUCCAGACGCCUACGGGAGGCCGCAUGGGGGAAUAUGUCACAAUGGGCGCGAGCCUGAUGCAGCCAUGCCGCGUGUAUGAAGAAGGCCUUCGGGUUGUAAAGUACUUUCAGCGAGGAGGCGUUACUCGCAGAAGAAGCACCGGCUAACUCCGUGCCAGCAGCCGCGGUAAUUC